rnacentral:misc_RNA from 1 species
UGAAUCAGAACCUUUUCCCCAUAAUUUUGCUUAACAGCAGUCAUAAACUCAUGUAGAAGUUCAUAGUACUCCUCUCCAGUUGCUCUUCUCUGUUUAAGCCCAAUGUAGAAUUCAUCAUUCAACAAUUUCUCGUUGUUCGUCCCAACAUCAAUUGUAAUAGGCAAACAUGCAGAAGGACGAACUCCUCCAAGUGCGGUGUAUAAAGAAAGUUUCCCAACUGGAAUUCCCAUUCCCUGACAACCAAGAUCACCAAGACCCAAAAUACGCUCACCAUCAG